GACGGGGGGGGCAAGUGUUCUUCGGAAUGACUGGGCGUAAAGGGCGCGUAGGCGGGCUCGCCAGUCCGGGGUGAAAUCUUUCGGCUUAACCGGAAAAGUGCCUCGGAUACUGCGGGCCUUGAGGGAGGUAGGGGCAUGUGGAACUUCCGGUGGAGCGGUGAAAUGCGUUGAUAUCGGAAGGAACGCCGGUGGCGAAAGCGACGUGCUGGCCCUCUUCUGACGCUGAGGCGCGAAAGCCAGGGGAGCAAACGGG
rnacentral:rRNA from 1 species